rnacentral:misc_RNA from 1 species
UAACCACUCAAGCUUUGGCUUGGUAUUGGGGUUUCGCGGUUCCGCGGCCCUUAAAAUCAGUGGCGGUGCCGUCUGGCUCUAAGCGUAGUAAUUCUCUCGCUAUAGGGUCCCGGCGGUGGCUUGCCAGAACCCCCCUAUUUUUCUAC